AACAAGUCAAGAUAACGGUGUUGGCCUCAGAAGGGUGCACUGUGGGCACAUUUGCUUUCUGUGAGUAACUCCUGAAUGAGAAAAAAGUGUAACCAUAAGCUAGAAGUCCCUGAAGGCAACCCAAGCCCCAGCGGGAGGGGUGCCUCUCUCAGGUGCUGUUACACUCACUGUCAGAUCCAAGCAGGAGAACUGUGAUGCACACACAAUGCUGCCAUAGGAAUCACCAGUGGCACAAAACAACAAACAACCGGCAAGAUCGCCUAGUAUGGAAGAAACCAACUGUAGAGCCAAAUUGUGCAGGUUCUGGCUUAGUGUGUCAUCUAGUAGCUACCUAACCCUGGAGAUGUCCUUAACUUCUCCGUGUACCAAUAUCUAUAAAGUGAAGAUAAUUAGAGUUUCUCAGAGGCUGUUAAGACCUGCGUUAAUCCUGGAGUGGCCCUUAGAAGAGUGCCUGCCACACAGUAAGACUACAGUUUUUACCUGUUUAGUUACAUCUGUUCAUUAGCACAACACACAAAAAAUGAUUCAUUACAGAUUAUUCAAAGCCAGAUGCUAUUAUAAUUUCUUCCUGAUUUCAUCUUAUAGAAUUAUGAGCAUCCAUAGCAACUGAACUGGUUAUAAGUUUGGAGAAGUUUGUCUCCAAUGAGGGUCAUUUAAAUGAGAGAAUUCAUCAUUCAUUCUUAAUAGAAGCCCACAGAAUGAAUUUAAAAUCUCAAUCAUUAGGGGCUGGAGAGAUGGCUCAGCAGUUAUGAGCACUGGCUGCUCUUCUAGAGGUCCUGAGUUCAAUUCCCAGCAACCACAUGGUGGCUCACAACCAUCUGUAAUAGGAUCAGACGCCCUCUUCUGGUCUGUCUGAAGAGAGUGACAGUGUACUUACAUACAUAAAAUAAAUACAUCUUUUUAAAAAGGGGGAGGGGUGGAAUAGAGGAUUUGCGGAGGGGAAACUGGGAAAGGGGAUAACAUUUGAAAUGCAAAUAAAUAAAAUAACCAAUAAAAAAAGUCUCAGUCAUAGAAAAGAACUUAGUGGCAAAAGGGACCCUGCCUCCCAUAAAAAUAGUUACUUACUGAGAACCUACUCUCCAUCAGACACUGUGCUAGGUACUUUAAGUAAAACAAUCAUUUCUGAAAGCUGCAUAGUUCUAUUCCCAUGGUACCAAUGGGAAUAAUAAUGUACAGAAGCUGGAAAAACCAGGAAGGAAGGCCAAGGCCAAAGGGUGAUAAACGGUGGACCCUGUGCAUCCCAGGAGGGAGGCUGUGAGCUGAUGAAGGGUCUGGAAGCAUUAGCUGUGUCUCCUCUGUGUAAAAUCACACUGAGCACCGUAAGGGACAUGGGGUUGCUUACUGCAGUUCUUUGGUAGAACCUUCUAAACGUGAUAUAAAUUUGCUGAAACACUGGAGGAAGUGUGCCUGUGUGCGCAUCACCAUUGUGCCAAUUAAGGCUGUUCUGGCUUAGGAAAUACUAGGAAGGAGGAAGAGGAUAGCCUGCAGCCCAGAGCAUCUCUUUCAGCUGGCAUAUCAAUGGAACAGGGGUAGCUUAUUCACUUUGCAAAUGAAAUUCUGAAAGAAAGAGCAAAUGAAUUCUUCAAGUGUUGUCUAUCCAAUCAUUCUGGAAUCAAGGAGGACGAUUGUGCAACUGACCAGGGUCUGACCAGGUGCCCAUGCUGAAGCUGAUGGUUGGCAGCCAUCCUUAUAGGAGAAAACAUCCCAAGGCUUUAGGAAUACAUUCCCUGUCCCCUGUCUCCAGUGGUCAGAUAGCCCCAGGCCUUUCACAAGUAGAUGUCAUUGGGUCUUCCUUUCAUGUUGUAGAUAAGGAAACCAAAGAUCUGAGUGUUGUUCAGGGUCUAAGGCAGGAGUAAGGCAGGAGCUGAGAUGGGUUGGUGUCCAGCCUAUUUCCAUUUGUAAAGUCAGUCACCAUGUACAACUCAGAGAGGGAACAGACAUAGGUGGCCCAUCACUGUGUUCUCAGCUGUGCCCUAGGUGGCCUGCCUUGCCUUAGACUCCACUCCGCGCUGGGCUCAUCUGCUCUACAUGAUCUCUAGCCAAGAAAGGAAAACAAGAAGGGGAGGAAUUUAGGAGGGAAGGCCGCCACAAACCCAGAGACAAGAAUUGUAGAGGAUGCCUGCUGUUCCUCUGCUCUCCAGCCCUCUAAUGCCAGCACUUAGAUUUUAGCCAUCCCCAGUCUAGGGUGACAACUGUCAUCUUGAACUCCAGGUCCUCUCCCCCCCCCCCAGAGAUGAUAAACUGGUUGACAAGGCACCCCUCAGCAGAGAGUAAAAGCCAAAGCUCUCACCUGUCUGAGAGUUGUCCCCGGAGUCACGAUGAAUCCGGUGAAUCUAGAGACGGUGCAAAGUUCGGUAAAAAGAGAAAGAAAUGUAUGUCAUUUGUCUCCUUCGGCAACUUAGUUAAAAAAAAAAAAAAAAAAAAGCCCUGACGGCCUCCAGAAAGCAAGGUGUUGCACAGAUUGCGUGAAAAGAUGAAAGACACACACACACACACACACUCACACACACACAUUGAGUGUAAGACCACAAAUGCUCUAAAGCCUUCAGACACUUGGUCAGGAGCCCAAGAGCAGAAAGUGCCCGAGGGAGGGGCUCUCCAGGCAGAUUCUACCUCCAGCUAGCCUCUUCUUGACAGUCUGUAGAAAUGCAGAAAGACAAAGGCCAGAACUCAAGUCAAACUUUAAUAAGCCAUACUGUAACUUGCUUGUAUCAGGCAAGGCUAUAUUUGUUUUUCUGAAAGGCUGAGUUAAAUCGAAAAUUUCUGUUUUUGGAACCGUUCCUUAAAGGCUUUUUAAACACUCCUCCAUUGCCGACAGAGUCAACUGUCCCCUCACGAGGCCUGUACUUCGGAUGCUGUUUAGCACCUAGUUCUUUCUCAUUAUCGGGUUUGUUUCAUGCUAAUGAUUUGGUGCAGAUGUUCGAUAGACAUCCAUCAAAGGGCCAAAUGAAGUCAUCAGCACUAGAAAGAAUAUCCGCGUUCUCGGUGGACUCUGCGUUUCUUGCGUGUACAAUUGACUAAGGCACUGCUGGUGGGCACGUGGCCAUUUGUACUUAGAAUCUCACGGUUUCUCUGCUAAAUCCAUCUGCUUCCAUCCAGGGCUCAGGGCCGUCAACCUGUGCAGCGCUCAGUGAAGAGGCAAGGUUAAGUUUAUCAAAGCAGGUGAAUGGGGGUGGGGGGGGGACUGUCAGUUAAAGACUAGCGUGACUUAGCAACAUCAACUAUGAUGGCCUGAAAGCUCCCUUAUUUAUGUCAGACACAGGUAAAACAGGCUUCAUGGAACCAUUGACGAAUCAGGUAGAGUCUGGGGAGAUGGCUCCAUUGGGGAAGUGGCUGCCCCAUGAAGCCUGAGCUCAGAUCUCUAGGUUCCAUGUAAAAAUCUAGGUGUGGUGACAUUUAUCUGUAAUUCAGUGCUUCGGGGUAGAGAGAGGCGAAUUCCUACAGCCCACUGGCCGGUUCAGUCCGGUUGAACCAUUAAACUCUAGGUUCGGUGAGAAGACUUGACUCAAACAAAUGCGGUAGGGAGUGACUGAGGAAGACACCCCAUGUUAACCUCUGGCCUCCACGUGUACCUGCACGUGAAUCUGCAUGCACACACGCGUGCACACGCUCACCUGAUCAUGCACACAAACACAUGAAGAUAGCCAAGUAAAUCUGAGCUUCUAGAACUAGGCUUCCUACAAGCCCUUCUGCUCGCCCAUUUCACUUCCUCACACAACAUCAAUACAAAGCCCUCCACGCACCUUCGAUAUCAUGGUCACCUUAGUCAGGGCUUGUGAUUCUCACCUCAAAAUUACUGUAUCUUUUCUUAUUUCUUGCAUGAGCAUCAUUUUAUAUUUUCCUUCUGGAGUAAAGACCAUUUUCUACAAACCUACUAAGGUCAAAUGCACAUUUUUAUAUGUUCAAUAUUAAUGUUUCAUUCUGUCAAUCAGAUCUGGCUUAAAAGCUUUUCUCUUUAAUCAAAAUAUAUAUACCUCUAGGAGCAGAGCCUAUGACUUCCCAUGCUAUGAAAAUAAUCAACGGUAAUAAGCCCACCUCUGCAUCAACUCCCUUUUCCCGCUUCUCAUAGGCUCACACACAGGUCAUCAAUAUGGCUCCCAUGACCUAUACUGUGGGCCAUGCGUUCUGUCAGGAGUGGAGUUCUCUCAGCCCUGAUUUAGGAUUUAAAAUGUGUUCCAUCCACUGAUAGGGGUGGAGAGGGGUGGACCAGGGAGGGAGAACACAGGCAUUUGUCCAUGCCCUGGGAUGUCUCUGGCCCAUCUUUUCCCACAUUUGUUGUUGCCCUUGGUACUUUGAGAUGAAUUUGCUGCCUCUACAUCAGCACAGUGGCUUCAGCUGGGCUCUGUACCUUCUGCCAGAGCAGUGGCCAGAGGUUAUCCAGACUUUACAGCCAGAGUCUCGCAGGCUGGGUCAGCCUCUACACCAGGAGGCUACAUUGUGACCCACUUCACAAUCCUCUGUUCAUAGGACAACUGGGAGCCCUGCCUCCCAUCGCAUCCUACCAGUCUUGGGUUUUUCAUGUAAUUCUCUGAUGAUAACCAACAUGCCUCAUCCGAGUAUCCACACAUGGUGGUAAAAUCCCCACUCAGAAAAAGAGUUUAUUCCCAAGAUCUAAAAGUACAAAUUUUAUAUCUCAGUAGAAAUUAUUCCAAAAAGAUUAACCUUUAGUGGAACUCAUGGAGAAUGCGGGCAACGAUUAGGUAGCUCCAUAGUCUCUGAUGGGUCCGGGAGACGCUCAGAGACUUGAGCAUCUAGGGGUGAUGUUUGCCCCAUGACAGCAGCUGUUUUGCAUGCUAGCUGAGUGCUGGCAGCUUGAAAGCUUGCAAUUGUGGCUUUACAACCCUUCCAGAGAAGCGACCAUUUCCUUGGACAUGCAGGACGGGGAGGCUGAGCUUAAAGUUUGGUAUCCUGCCUAUGUCACCCCACUGGUAAUGCAUAGAACUGUAACCCCGCUUUCUUCUCUAGUCUGAGAGCCAAUCAGCUUGGUUACAAGCCUCUUCAGCCAAAGCCUCAGAAGUGUUGUCCCAGUCCUGGCUUGUCAUUGUAGGGCCUGAAAAUACCUCGCUGAUCAGCACAGCUUUCCCCCUGAAUUCUGGGGAGGCACAUACUUUGUCAUGUGUGUGCUUUAGCAAAACCAGGAGUCACCAUCCUCAGGCCUCUCACUUUCUCUAGAGCACAGUGGUUUUCUUCUUGAAAAGCUUUAAAUGCUGUGUGUCCCAGUGUAGGGAGGCCUGUGUACAACAGCUGCUACCACCAGACCCACAGGCUUUAAAAGAAGUAGUUUCUGCAGAGAACUCUACUGUCCUUGGCCUGUGAAACUGUCAGAGCUCAGAGAUGUGAUUUCUUUAUCCAGCAAGUCCUUGAGAUUGGCAGCUUGUGUGUGUGUGUAUGCACUGCAGUAUAACUAUAAUCUUAAACCUUUAGUUAAAAUAUUAUAGGUUUCUACAACAUUUGCUAGCCUGUGAUUAUAUGCUUCAUUGACUGAUGCCUGGUCAUGCUCAGCUUUGCAUGACGUAUCUUUCCUUUCUGAGGGGUUUUUAUUUUGCCAUGGUCCUAGAGUUAAAGCCAGGUUCUUGGUCAUGAAGGGCAAAUUCUCUAUUACAGCUUCUGCUUCUAAUUAUGCUCAGCUCUAAGAAGUACUACAAACUCUCCUCCCCUCCCCUCCCCUCCCUCCCUCCCUCCCUCUCUCUCUCUCUCUCUCCUGUGUGUGUGUGUGUGUAUGUGUGUAUGUGUGUGUGUGUGUGUGUGUGUGUGUGUGUGUGUGAGAGAGAGAGAGAGAGAGAGAGAGAGAGAGAGAGAGAUAGAUUUCAGGGUCAUUUGUUCCUUGGAGAAUAUUAAUUUAAAACCUAUCCUUGGUUUACUGUGGUAUGAAAGCCCUUAGGUUCACAGAGAUCCCCUGCUUCUUAAACUGUGGGUCACAAUUGCAUACGGGGCCAUGGAACUGAAUAUGGGAAGCAUAAAAUGUUUGAGAGUUGUAAAAGGCUUCUGAAUUCACAGUGACCAAAACUAAUUUUGAAGUUAGCACAUAAUAAACCCAGGAGUUCCCAGCAGUGCUGGUCUGGCCUGCACCACAGGGCUUCUCUGAAGGCUUGGUUCUGAAGGCCAACAGGUACAGUUUUCCCUGUGUGCGCUGCCACCCACGUGCUGACACUAGGCUGCCUGCCGCACCUCAGCCCGGGUUCCGGGCCUGUGCAUGGUGUGGAUAGCUGUCAUUUUCUGUUCAGAUGGAAACAUUAAUUAUAGAAAAAAGGAUUUCCUAUUUCUCUACCAUUGUUCCUCAGCAUGUAAAUAUCGAUUAGUAUCCCUUUGGCCUGAAUUGUGUCUGAAUGUUUGAUUUUUGGAGUAAAACGUCAUGGUUCUGUUGUCUUCCUAACAGAGUUGGCUUAGAACAGGCUGAAUGGAACCCUCCUCAUUGGCUCCCACUUUAAAAUGCUGUCAGCUACUAACAGGCAGAUUCUCUCAGACACCAGCUCAACAGACUCAAGUCUCAGCCCAUUCUUCAUGAGCUCUGGGCGGGGCUAGGACAGGAUUUCCCGAGGCUUCUGAGAUGGCCCCAAGCAUACUUCUGGCAUUUUGUACUAUGUAUUUUUGUAAGCUGGUGUUUUCAACAUUGAUAAAUAUAAAAUCAAAAUAUCAGUCAACAAAGUUAUCUAUGUCCUAUAGUAUCAAAUGGCCAACGUUUAGCCCUUUUUUUGUAAAAGCAAACAUUGAUCCACUUAGUAUACAAAUUUGCUGUUGUCUUUAAUACAGUUAAAAUAUGCAUAUAUCAAAGAAUUGUUUUAAAUUCUCUUUGUGAUGAACUCUCAGUAAACGACUGACUUAUGCACCUAUUUUUCUUUACCUAUCGUGGGUAAAAAGUUUAAGUGGAAGGGUUUGUAACAUUUUUAGACCCAUCCUAUGGGGGACAGAAAUGCCAGACGUCAUGAAGCUAGGUGAGUUGCAGUGAUACUGAAUUUAAUAGUUUUUCACAUUUUCAGGGAUUCCAUUAGCUUUAUGGAUCUCUAUCAAGUCCUUCAAUAAGUAGCUUUCUACAUUUGAAGACAGACCAGCUCCCUUCCUCACCCACCAGAAUGGCUAGGAAGAAACUGUCAAGGAUAAACACUUGGAAUACUCAUAUCUUGGAAGGAGAAUAAAAUUAUACAAUCCCGUUGAAUGCCAAGUCUGACACUUAUGCACCCACUUAUAUAAACAUCUCUAUGACAAAAUAUUACCUUGGUAAGAAAAGACAUCUUAUCACAAAAGUAACUCAUUCAAGGAUGCUCAGAAAUGUCCAGGGCCAAAAACAGCCCAGGGCUCCAUUAUCAGGAAAAUAGACUGAAAGCCAAAAACAAACAAAAAAGCAAAACAAAACCCCCCAAACAAAUAGGAAGGUGUUAUUGGUACACACAGCCCAGGCGAGUCUCAGAAAGCUUCCGGUGAGCAAAAGAAGCCAGACAACAGACCACAGACUGGAUGACGUUCUAGGAAGCCUAUUAUUAAACAAUGUAGAAUAAGGCCUUCAGGGAGCUGGGAGGGAAGGGGUGCAGGGAAGGACUCUCAAGGGAAGGAACUUUUAAGAGGAUAACAUUUGAUUUUUCUCUUUGUUUUUGAUAAUAUGGGAGUUAGAGAUAUGUCCUUCAAACUCAAGGGAAAAUGUAAGAUUGUCCAUUUUCUACCUUAAAAGGUUAUUAAAUUCUAGUUAAUAUGCAUGCUGAUAGGACAUGCAGUAAGAUACACUGAUGUGUGCCCAAUACUUAAUAGUUGGCAAACAUAAAAAAAAUAAAAAAAUAGAAAAGGAGGCCAUGAAGGAUGGUUUCAAGACCUUAGGUGGAAAUAUGAUGGAGUCAUGUGUUAACUGUGGGACUGAGGUAGUGAGUGAGUGAAUGGGUAGUCACGUACAUGCCUUCCAAUUGUUUCAUUAAGAUACUUUUUAAAAAUUUAAACUUUACCCCCAUAUAUAUUUUUUCAUAAGAAAGUAUUGGGUGGUGCAUGCCUUUUAUCUCAGCACUCAGUAGUGGGGGAGGCAGAGGCAGAGGCAGAGGCAGAGGCAGAGGCAGAGGCAGAGGCAGAGGCAGAGGCAGAGGCAGAGGCAGAGGCAGAGGCAGAGGCAGAGGCAGAGGCAGAGGCAGAGGCAGAGGCAGAGGCAGAGGCAGAGGCAGAGGCAGAGGCAGAGGCAGAGGCAGAGGCAGAGGCAGAGGCAGAGGCAGGUGAAUUUCUGUGAGUUUGAGGCCAGUUUGGUCUACAUAGUGAGUUCCAGAACAGCCAGGGCUACGUAGCAAGACCCUGUCUCAAAGCAGCAACAACAAAAUAAUAAAAUAAAAUAGAAACCCCCCACUUCCCAUUGGCCUUACGGUCACUGACUAUAUAACCAGUCAGUGAGACUCACCCUUGGGGCCUGGCUCUGGCUAGUUCUCCAUGCACUGCUGAGCACAGCCAUGCUACCUUGAGCUCUGAGGUCUCUGCUGGGAAGUUCUCAAUCUGCUCUCUCGGCCUUACCUUGUCCUGCAGGUCUUGUUCAUGUGUGACUCCCAUCAGGAAUGUUUCAAUACUUCCUUCUCACUUUAGUCCCUCAUGGGGUCGUGAGGUCAAGGCCUUCAGUCAUGUGCUCUCAUUGGAUGUUUCUGAAUGACGUAAUACAGCCUGUGCCCUUGCAUCUGUGACUAAUCUGUCCCCAGCUUCUUGGAUGGAGGUUAUACCUAACUUGAUUACUACUGUGUACCCAUUGCUAACAACAUCUGCGGCUGCACAUAGUGGCCACUAAAUAUGCAAUGAAUCCAUACGAGACCGAGUUAACUGGGGUCCUUACCAGUGGUAAAGGCAUCACUUUUAAUGAUUUGGCCAUCACAUUAAUCUUUGCUAAUUAUGUAUAAUACUUCUGUCACUAAAGUUACUAGUACAUAAAGUUUCACAGUAAAACACAGAUAAAGCAAUUUUUAUAAAAUGUCACUUUUAAAAGUGAGAAGCAAAUACAGAGAACAAUAUGCCCCUUUUCUCUGAUAAUGCCAAAUGUUAUAAAGGAGACAAAUGAAGGCCACCAGAUACCAGAGCUCAUGCUCAGCCCUGUCUGGGCUCCCUGAGCCUCUGAGAGCAUCUCUGUAACACAUCGUACCAUGGCUCUCAUCAUAUAAUGAACAGCUUUAAAACAAACAAACAAACAAACAAACAAACAAACUAAAAGAGUGCUUACAUCUAUCCACACAUCUUUAAUAACAUGGGAAGUGACAGCAAUUCUUCUUGGUUGUUGUCCUACUUUGGUUCUUCCAUCGCUAGGAUAAAACUUGUGGUGGCCACUAAAUGGGCGAUGACCACAGAGGCACACUAAUUAUUGGCUUAUUCCUCAUGGUCCCCUCAGACUGCUUUCUUAUACAAUCCGGGAUUACAUGCCCAGAAAUGGCUCCACUCACAAUAGGCUGGGCAUUCCCACAUCAGUCAUUAAUCAAGAAAAUGCCUUAUAGACAUACACACACCUCCCAGGUCUAUCUCUAGAAAUACCACCCAAACUGAUAGAAAUCAGAUUUGACCAGGGAAGACCCCCUGAAGAUCCUGACUAUAGAUAGUGAGGAGAAAAUCAGAAGAUUCGAACAAAGAGGUGAUAGAUUGCUGGUCCCUCUAUUUGGGAGCCAUUCUAAAACUGACUAUGACAUAAAAAUGUCUCCAGUCAAAACUUCAUGCAUGGACAAUAAAUCUUGUUGGCUACAGAAUGCUCGUGACUUAGAUUACAUGCUACCAUUACAGAUGGCAUGAAUGGAGACUUACAUUGCAGUUUGGCUAUAUAAUCAAACUAGAACAUAAUAUAUACAAUCAAACAGAAAGAUAGAUGUCUUUCUUUCUCAGAGAGUAGACAAAUCAUUCUUAAUUAAUCUGUACACCUUGCACAUUCCAUACAAAUGUUUUUAUAAAACUUUCUAUUGCUUGUAGAGGUUUAUGUGUUAUAGAAUGGACCCCCCCCCCCCCACACACACACACAGAGCAGCCCUGAGAAGAUCCAUCUUCAGGGAUGGUGAGACGCCUGCACUACCUCCAACUGCCUCAAUGUUGUUUCCUCAAAAGACUCGCUUCCAGAACAACUCCAAAGAACGUUGCUGAUCUCACUUCACCCAGCCAUACAGACUGAUCCAGUCAGGACUUCACUUAACCUGAACUUUCACAGCAUCCAGAGACUGGACAACAAAUAGCAGCUAGCUUUCUUUUGAUGUAACCAUUUUCCCAAUUUCCUUGGGUCCCCCAAAAAGGAAUUCUAUGUCCAAUGUUAGCAGGAGGCAAUCAUAAGAAGCCUGUCAUCCUAGUCCCUUAAGAGGGGGUGGAUGGCUUUGGUAAUUUUAUGAAUUAUAGCUAUGUUGUCAUUUAAGGGGAUGGUUACAAAUAGUCAUGGUCUUGGACUGGAAAUUUAAAGGACUCCUAUUUAAUUUCUUUUCUAAAGAAAUUAAAUAGGGAGUUUAGACUCAGGGAUUUCCAUCCCUCUUUUCCUUUUCUAUACCCUUCUUUCUCAGAUAAAGCUAAGGGAUUUGAGAAGAAAAAUGGGGAAUAUAGAAAUAUCAUAAAAUAAUAAGAUAAAGGAUAGAUUACUAAAUAUACUCUUUAACUUUGAGCUAUUGUUAUUCUCAAUUCUGUUAUUUUGUUACAUUGGUAUAAAAUGCUGUAUAUUUCUAUAGGUUUAAGGAUUUCAUUGGUAAAUCUGGUAAAUUUAAGGUUAAUUUUGUUACAAUAUAAUAUAUGUAUUUUUAACUUGUAUAUAGGUAUUGUGCCUUGUGGCUCAUUUGAAAAUGCAAGGUUUCAUCCCAGCCCUUUUAGUAGCUGCUAUUGCAAACUAUUAGAGAUGGUUAAGAAAUACAAGUUAAUAAGACAGUCAAAGUCAUGGCCAUGUCAGAUAUUAGUCUAUAUCAUCAGAGAAAUAUGCAUCCUGGAUUGGACAGGUAUCUGAAGACCGCAAUAUUUGCUUGUUCAGAUAUGCUAUGAAUAGAUAAAUAUCCUAUGAAUAGAUAGUCCUCAGAGACUUAAAGAAUAUAUCAUUUAAAGAUUUUUUAUUAUUAAUUUAAGGCUUUUUUUUUGACAUUGAGACAUGUCAGCUCCUAGCAGAACCCCAUUCGACUUGGAAGAAGAUGAUGAGCAUUGAAGGAGCUGUAUUUGGAGAUGGCUUCAUUUGUGGCAAGCUCCUCAAUGGGCAAAGAAAUGCUCUAACUUCAUCUGCAAACAGAAUGCUCUCCAGAAAGGACAAACAACACAGGGGAGUCAACUGCCAAGUCUGCCAAGACAGGGUUUGCAGACAGUGGGGCUACUGUGCUGAAGAUAUGCCAGAGGAUUCCAUUCAGAAUUCUUGCCCCAAAACAGAAAUGGCAUACUUCAUGUUAUAGCUGUCCAGGUACCACUUUAUUUGGGACCACUGGGUUGGGACUCCUAUCUGCUCUGACAGUGCUUAUUGGGGCUAUGUGUCUAGCCUUCAUCACUAGAGGUCUCCAUGAGACAUGCCCAUGACAAGGCGGGGACUCUGACUCUACACGGGAGAGAAGACAGUGAAUAUAAAUCCAGGGGACUGUUCACCACCCUACAACAAAACUGCCAGCAGAGGGACCCAGCAUCUAAUCCUCACAUAUGUGGCAGUGUUUCUUGAAGAUUGGCUGUGAAAGAUUGGCUAUGCCUUUUGGUAACAGCUUUAAUGUCUAAAAUGUCAUACUACUGUGCAACUUCUCAAGAAUUAGCGACCCCAGCGUGGAGAGAAUAUGUGUGAGAGUAUAUGGCACGUGACACCUCCAGGCAGCUUGUGAUCCUACUGAUGUGUCACGGAGGGAGGAGACCAAGGCUGAAUGGUUACAGCAUUUGCUCACAUGCACAAAACUAGCCAGAGAGCGGGAAGGACAGAGCAAAUGUACAGAAUGCCUCUUCCCCAAUCUUCAGUACUCAGAAAUAGCACUUGAUAUUUUUCUGUUAACUUAUGUAAAACAUGUAUGUUUAUGGAAACAAUAAUUACAUUGUCUGGUGAAGUUUUAUAUAUAUAUAUGUAUAUGUAUGUGUUUAUAUAUAUGUGUGUGUAUGUAUAUAUAUACAUAUGUAUAUUUAUACAUAUAUAUUAAUGGAUAGGUAUAUAGGCAACAAUGAGGUCUUAUAACACAAAGGCUUUGUGUUCCACAUGAUCUGCUUAGACUAUUAAGAACACUGCUAGAAGUUAUGGUAAUCCUAGGUAAUUCUUAAUAUCUGCAUUACUAAAAAUAGCAGAUGUAACCAAAAAUCCAAAAGACUAAAGAAUGCCAUUUUAAAAAUUGUUCAAAUAAUGUAAAAUAAAAUCUAUAUAAAGGAAUAGAAAAGUGCAAACAGAAGAAGAAUAUAAAAAAAAUGUAAAAUGGCAGACUUGUUCCUGACUACACUGAUAAGUACAUUAAAUGUUAAUGGCCAAAGACUCCAGUUAAAAUGCAGAGACCUAUCAUAACUGAUAAAACAUCAGAAUCCAGCAUGAUUUGAAAGUAUAGGGAUGGAAAAGGUGAUGUAAACAAAUAUGCUGAAGAUUACUAGAGUGGCUGGUUUAAUAUCAAAUAAAGUGGAUUAUAAGAUAAAGUACCACUAGAUAUUAAGAAUAACAUUUACAAUGAUAAAAUAAUUAAUUAAUCAGAAAUAUAUAACCAUAAUAAAUGUGGUGAUAAUAAAUGAAGCCCUUAGAAACAAAGCCUCAAAAUAUAUCAAACAACAACUACAGGAAUUAUAUGAAGAAAUAGAUAAUAUCUUAAUGUUCCUCUUUUAUCAUUUGUUAGAAUUAGAAAAGAAUCAGCAAAAAAAAUAGGUGAUAUGAAGAAUAUGGUAAUCACUUUGAUCUAAUUGAGAUUGAUAAGAUAUUCUACAUAACAAAAGAACAUAGCCUUUUCAAAUGAGUUUCUUUCAAAAUACUGACUAGAAAAAAACCUUUAUUUGGCCCAAAGAAAACGAUUCCAAUACAUUUUAAGUGGACUAAAACAAUACAAAGCAUGUUCUCUGACAAUAAAUGGAAAUAAAUUAGAAAUUGUCGAGAAAAUAAUAUCUAGAAAACCUUUCAAACCCCAAUCAAAACUUCUAAAUAGUUCAUGGACCAAAGAAGAAAUUAAAAGGAAAUUAUAAAAUAUAUUGAACUGAAAGAAAACAAGAAGUUGAGUCCCUUCAUGACACUGAAUACUCGGUUCUUCCCAAUGCUGGAGAGAGGAAUGGGGAUAGGAUGGCCAGGAUUGCUCCUAACUUCACCUGUGCUAUCGUUCCCUUCCCGACCUUCUCACUGUAAUAAAACAGUACCACUGCCAUGGAUUCUGAUUCUUUCAAAUGGACCAUAAAACAAAUGGGUAGCCUUGGAGGCUCACAAAAAAAACGUAGCUACAUUUCUGGGAUGUACACAAAGCAGUCAUUUUAGAGAGAAGGCAAAACUCAAAAGAAAUGGAGAACUAUGACCCAGCUCAUAGCCUGGAAGAGUCAAUACUGCUUAAUAGUGCUUUGUUUUCUAACUGUUCUACAGCUUCAAUACAUGCUUGGGGGGGGGGGGUAAGGUAAAGAUUGUUAAUAUAAUUCUAAAAUUUAUAUAGAAAUACAAAGAACACAGGAAACCAAGCCAGUGGAAGAACUUAUAACACAUGACUUUGAGUCUUGCAAUAGUUAAGAAAGUAUGCAAUUGGUGCAUAGAUUCACAAAUUGAGCAGUACAGUGGAAGAGUCUAGAGGUGGAAUGCAUUAUGCAAUUAUUUGCUAAAGAUGUCAAAGUAACUCAGUGAGGAAAAUACUUCCAAUAAAUGCUUGAGCUUCAAUAAUCAGAUAUCUUUAUAGGCAGAUAUUAAGCUUAUCUCAUGUGACACCAUGAAAGUAAUUAUAGAUGCAAUGUAUAAUUAAAUGUAAAUAUAAACCACAGGAAGUGGUACUUGUCAAACAUUGACAUAAUAAAGUUAAAAACUGUUUAUUGGGCUGGAGAGAUGUCUCAGAAGUUAAAAGCACUGGUUGCCUUUCCAGAGGUCCUGAAUUCAAUUCCCAGCAACCACAUGGUGGCUCACAACCAUCAGUAAGGUGAUCUGAUGCCCUCUUCUGGCAUGCAGGUGUAUGUGCAGAUAGAACACUCAUACAUUCAAUAAGUCUUUAGAAAACUGUUCCUCAAAAGAUUUUUAAAUGAAUUAAAGAAAGAAUAGAGAAAAACAUAAACAUAUCUGGCAGUGGACUGAUGUAUAAUGUAGCAAUAAUAUAGUUGUCAAUAAUAAAGAUAACCCAAUAGAAAUGCCAAAGGCCUUCAAUUGACACCUUACAACACAUGAAAACUUCUCAGCCACUAGUCAUCAAUGUGUGCACAUUAUCGGGGACUCUACAGAGACAGACUUACAUACUAAAACCUACACAUCUCCUGAAUGGCUAAAAUCCCUUGCAGCCACACUGACCCUUGACAAAAGUGUGCAUGGCCUCUCCUGCUCACUGUUUUGGGGAUUGUCAAAUGAUAGAACUUCCUGGGGGAGAGAAUUAGCAGAUGCUGACAAAGCAGACAUACACCUAAUCUGUGACUCAGUGAGUCUCCUACUGUUCCUAAAGGAAAUGAAAUUAUUUAAAAUAGAGCAUGUAGAAGAAUGUUCAUAGCAGGUUUAUUCAUAAUAGCCCAAGAACAAAUAUAGUUCAGGUGCUUACCAAUAAAACAACAGAUAAACAACUACCAUAUAUUCACCCAAAAGAAUACUAUGCAGUGACUAAAAACUAUGGAACCCAUACACCAAAAAAAUAGGUCUUAAAAACAAACCAAAAAUGCUUUACAUAAUAGAUGAAAUUCUUAACAAAACUAAUUUAUGCUAGGGUGGACGGGAGGCCAGACAGAUGAGGGGCAGAGAUCAAUGGGGGCAUUUUAGCCUGCCAGUGAUGUGCGCUGUCUUGUGAGAGGUUGGGUCACUCAGGUGUACACUUUGACAGGGGCUAUGCAGAAGCAUCCUUACAAUGUGGUGAUUCCCUUAUAUGUUUGGGCCCCCCAAAAGUCAGGCAUUCACUGUAAAGCAGAUAUUUCUUAGGGGAAACUAAGUCAUUCUCUCCAGCCAUGUUCUAGUACUGGAACUAAACAAAACCCAGGCAUGGAAGCAAGUGUUCCUCUUAUCUUGUUUUGAAUACAUAUAGGGGAAUCUGGGCCUCAGACUAACAUGGAUCGACCUGUUGGAGUAGAGGCUCUGGAGAGAGGGAAUAGGAAACUAUGUCACAGGAGGGCCAAGGGGCCAUAUGCUGAGUUCAAGACACCUGGACAGACCUCAGAGGCCACAGGGGCCAUCUUAACCUUUAAAGAAAAAAAGCAAACGGUCUAAGUGUCAAGUUGAAGAGGUGACACUGAAUGGGAAUGGUACCCCAGGGAAGAGGUGAACCUUCAUUUUAGUUCAGUGGUUCUCAAUACAUGUGCCAAGACCCCCUUUGGGGCCACUUAUCAAAAUAUCUUGCAUAUCAGAUAUUUACAUUAUAAUUCAUAACAGUAGCAAAAUUAUAGUAAUGAAGUAACAGUGAAAUCAUUUUAUGGUUAGGGGUCACCACAACAUGGGGAACUUUAUUAAAGGGUCGCAUUAGGAAGGCUGAGAAGCACUGUUCUAGCCCAAGAGUUGUGGAGAAAACAGGGAUUCUUUUGGCAGAGACAUGUAGGUGCCAGAGUCCAAACAAGGAGCCACAUUCCAUCUGAAAAUGCUGCUACUGAAGGCAGUGUUAAAAGUCAAAUUACCCAGGAACCGAAGUGACUUCCAUACCUGAAGUUCUGUCAGAAGCCAUUUAGGAAAGACUGAGGAAAGCAAGUGGGCUUUUCUGGAGCUGGCCCACCAUCUUGCAUGGCCUGUGAUGGGUGAACUUUGAGGCAAGGCCCCAAGAGACUUCAUCCCAGGAUUGCUUCUUGUUAUUACUAUGCCUUUUCUGUCACUGUUAAAUAGUCUAAUGAUUCAUGGGCACUAGCCCACCAUAUCGGGCAGAUUUUCUGCACAUCAACAAAGAUGUACUCUUUUAUAACAAUGCUAUGUAGACAAAUUGCUGAUUUCAUAAUUCCUAAUGAUAUUCGAUAGAAUUCCUAAAUUCAUACUAGUCAUUUCGAGCUGCAAUUAGAGCAUUGUUAACCUUCAUGUGCCACAGGCUAAUUGCACUAGGAUAGAAAGCAGACUUGGAACAAAUUUAUGAUCAGGAAAACCAUUCCUUCUGGGUUAGCUAUGAGACCACUAUCUAGUAACUAAAGGUCAUAAACUGGGAAUGGAUAAUUUAUUGUAGGUGCAAGGACAAAAAUAAAUAAAUAAAAUAUUGACUAGUUUAUCUGUAUAAAACUUCAACAGUAAUGAGACACAAGGCAGAUGGUUUGAUUUUUGACAAAAUGAUGCUGACCUGUAACAAGAAUUAUUGCUUUAAACUUAUAAUGAGCUUAUGGAUCUAGAAGAGAGAUAUUGUUUAAUCAGGCACUAGUCUUAAUGGAAACACAUGUAAACAUCUCUGCUGUAACUCCUUAUUUAAUUUAUGACUUGAAUUAAACCUGCUAUGAACUUAUGGAAUGUAAAGAUGCUUGGGAAACCAUGUGAUCAAGGAUCCUGAGAAGGCCUACGAAGGACCACGGGAAGAGCCUUUUAUUUUUCCCUCUCUCUCUGGAAUAAAGUUUUGAGCCUCUUUUUUUCA